rnacentral:rRNA from 1 species
AAUAUUUGACAAUGGGCGAAAGCCUGAUCCAGCCAUGCCGCGUGUGUGAAGAAGGUCUUCGGAUUGUAAAGCACUAUAAGUUGGGAGGAAGGGCUUUAGGUUAAUACUCUGAAGUUUUGACGUUACCAACAGAAUACGCACCUGCGAACUCUGUGUCAGCAGCCGAGGGAAUACAGAGGGAGCAAGCGUUAAGCGGAAUUACAGGGCGUAAAGGGCGCGUAAGUAGUUCAGUAAUGUGGGUGGUAAAUCCCCGGGCUUAACCUGGGAACUGCUUUCAAAACUUGCAAGCUUGAGUAUGGCAGAGGGUGGUGGAAUUUCCUGUGUAGCGGUGAAAUGCGUAGGUAUAGGAAGGAACACCAGUGGCGAAGGCGACUACCUGGACUGAUACUGAAACUGAGGUGCGAAAGCGUGGGGAGCAAAC